rnacentral:rRNA from 1 species
UACGUAGGGUGCAAGCGUUGUCCGGAAUUAUUGGGCGUAAAGAGCUCGUAGGCGGUCUGUUGCGUCCGCUGUGAAAACCCAGGGCUUAACCCUGGGCUUGCAGUGGAUACGGGCAGACUAGAGGUAGGUAGGGGAGAAUGGAAUUCCCGGUGUAGCGGUGAAAUGCGCAGAUAUCGGGAGGAACACCGGUGGCGAAGGCGGUUCUCUGGGCCUUACCUGACGCUGAGGAGCGAAAGCGUGGGGAGCGAACAGG